UCCCUCGUUGAUUAAUGGUAAAUCACCCACCGACUUUGGGUUAUUCUUGAACCGCAUAAGGCUCAGUGGGAGACGGAGGUUCGAAUCCUCCCCAGGGCA